GACCGAAGAGGAUAAAGCUCGGGAUGUGUUUAGGAAGUUAUCUGUCAGUAUGGUAUUGUCUUGAUGAAUCCUCUAUGAUUAUUUGUUUUGUUUUGAGAAAAAACCCUCUGAAUUUAUAUGUGGUCAUGAUUGUUGUUUGUAUAUAACUGGUUCUCUUGUUCAGCAUAAAGCAAUGAACAUGGCUCAGUACGCUCAGAAAAAGUUGGAUUUAGCAGAUGAGCUGAAGUUGGACAAAGAGGUAUGCUAAUAACUGUAUUCAUUGUCAAAGUAAUGUUGCGUCCUGAGAUUAAGGGAAAAAGAAACAGAAAUUUAUGUGCACGCACUUUUGCAGGGUGGAGUUGUUCCAUUGGAAAGACCCUUUGAGUUCUGAGUAAUGGAAAGACUAGAUUUGUCACUUUUGGCCUGAAAUGAGUGUAUUAUCCAUGAUCUCAUCUGACCGCAAGACAGAACUACUAUGAUGAUUGUAUUGCAUAAGCAGCCCAUCAGUCUGAAAUUGUGGAUGAUGCUUGGCUUUAGUUUACAUUUGUGGUUU
rnacentral:lncRNA from 1 species